rnacentral:rRNA from 1 species
UACAGAGGGUGCGAGCGUUUGUUCGGAAUUAUUGGGCGUAAAGCGCUUGUAGGCGGCUUGUUAAGUCCUGUGUGAAAGCCCUUGGCUUAACCAAGGAAGUGCGCAGGAAACUGGCGAGCUUGAGUGCCGGAGAGGGUCGCGGAAUUCCCGGUGUAGAGGUGAAAUUCGUAGAUAUCGGGAGGAACACCAGUGGCGAAGGCGGCGACCUGGACAAACACUGA